rnacentral:rRNA from 1 species
GACAGAGGGUGCAAACGUUGUUCGGAAUUACUGGGCGUAAAGCGCGUGUAGGCGGCUUCGCAAGUCGGGUGUGAAAUCCCACGGCUCAACCGUGGAAGUGCAUUCGAAACUGCGAGGCUAGAGUCCUGGAGAGGAAGGUGGAAUGCUUGGUGUAGAGGUGAAAUUCGUAGAUAUCAAGCGGAACACCGGUGGCGAAGGCGGCCUUCUGGACAGUGACUGACGCUGAGACGCGAAAGCGUGGGGAGCAAACAGGG